ACAGUGUGCAUGCACUCUGAGAAGACAGAAAAUGCCAUAUAUAUAUAUUUAUAUUUGAUGUGAUGGGUGCAGAGUGGUGGUUGCUCCCAGCCAGGUCAUUUCAAUAACAACAGGAGACCACAGUUACUGCUGAAUGGCAUCUUUCAGGCUGAAGAGCUUCCGCAGUCUCUCCACUUCCAUACUGAUUAGAAGUGCUUGAGAUACAUCAUAACAGUGUCAGUGCAGUGUUUAUCGGGGAAAUUGUCGCUGUCUCUCGCUUGUGGAAGGUGACAUAAUGGGAUUUCUUCCCUUUGUCCUGGUGACAGGAUGAUGAGCACUGUCUGGGCUCCAGUUCGGCGGGCUUUGCCAUUCAGGCAUCCGGCGCAGCUGACAAGCCCGAGGAUCGAUGGAGAAGAGUUUGAUUAUUCAGUCAAAACCUAAGUAUCCUGUUGGGAGAAGAACACUCAUUUUAGUGGCACUGUUCUAUUCUUUGGAUGAAUUGAAUAGUUACUAAUCCAGCCACAGAAGAAAGACACAGGAGAGGCUGAAACAUCACCUCUUGAGGGUCUCCUUUCCGGUGAUUUAUUCAGAUAUUGGCACAUGUGACUCAAUUAUGGCCAAUACUAUGUGAAGGGACAUCUUCUGGGAGUCUUCCUCCUUUUCUUCUGGAUGCUUUGUGUCUGAAUGUGAUGCCUGGAGAUGCAACAGCAGUCUCACUACCAGCACAAGGAUGAAGCUGAUACCCAGGGCUAUUGAGAUGAUUGAAUGAGGUAAUUUCUGCUUAUGAAUUCCCAGCUCUGUGCCUGGCACAGUGGAGGGAGGCAAUUCUGAUCCAUGUUCUCUUCUGAGUGGGUUGUCAGCUGGAGGCCUUCUACUUCUUUCUAAUCCGUUAGCUUCUUGCUAGUGCUGCAUCCCCAGGAGGAAAUCAGUAAAUGCAAGAAAUAAUUACCUUGACAAUGCCUUGCACAUGGUAAGUACCCUAAAAUAAUUCAUUGAAUUGUUUGUUAUUUUGGUGUUAAUGGAUGGGGAGCAUCUGAUUAAAUGUUAUUAUUUAUUAGAUCUAAAAUAUAAAUUUGGAAUCUUCUGUUGCACUUUUACCUAAUUACUCUAAACACCAGUGGGAGAGAGGAAUUAGUCACAAUACAACUUAAAGAAAAAAAUAUCUUGCUGUCACUGACUUCUCUCCUUGGUCUGAAAACUUUCUGAUUUUGUAGGAUGCCACUGACUGCUCUUUCUGCAACUGAAAAAUCUCUCAAAGGGCCCUGUCCAGUUAGGUCACACAAAGCCAGGCUGAUUAUUUAGAGAGAACACAAUGCUCCCUCACAUGGGGCACAGAGAGGAAGGAAUUUUUUUUUUUAAGCCAAUUCCAGUCCCAGGAGCUGCAAACUGCCCUCAGGGCAAAGAAGCCUGCAGAAUAAUUGGGAGGAGUCUGGCAGGAAGGAAGCCAAGUUUCCUGAGGCCCUCACCAGAAGCUCAUCAGAAGCAGAUGCUGGCACCACUCUUCUUAUGCUGUCUGCAUAACUAUGCUCUGCAGUUCCUCACACCCAGCUAUUGAAUUCAAGCGAUCCUGGAGCAGCAUCCUCAGCCCUAUCAGACCCAGCACUCUCUUUCACUAAAAUAGAUUUUGUAACUUCCAUCACUUUCUUUAGAUAAAAUUCAUUGAUAAUCUAACCCAACUUUACAUAUAAUUUAAAAAUUUAAUGUAAUGUCCUAACUGUAAUAAAGAGGAGAAGUAAAAGGAGAGUAAAUUAUAAUCAAAGAAUACUUUUUUCAAUGCUCAGGACUGUGGAAACUAGAAGAGAGCUUCUCAAAAUUUUAAGUACAUAUGACUCAUUUGGAGAUCUUAUUAAAAUGCAGAUUCAUAUUCAGUGGAUCUGUGUGGUGCCUGAGAUUCUUGUUUCUAACAAGAUCCCAGUCAAUGCAGAUGCUACCAGUCUCUGGACCUCUCCUGUAGUAGCAGGGAACUAGGGCUCAUGAAGAAGCCCUCAAAGCUUUCCUCUUCUGAUAGUGAAGCACUUGGAUUUAGGAGAAGUAAAACAACAUUUAAUCAAAUAUUGAUGACAUUUUAUUUAGUGUUGGCAUGUAUAAAAUAAGACAUAUAUAUAUCUUCAUUAUGAAUGUAAGAGUUUCAAAGACAGCUUUAUUCAGGUGUGUCCUAUUGGUGACUCAGAUACCAUGAUGUGACUUUUGGAAAUGGUGACUAACCCUGGGGAAGAUUUUAAAUAAAACAAGGUAAAUAUUUCCCCAAUUUUCACUGUAGUUUCAUGAUUGGAUAAUUCAGUAUAUAUUGAAUUGUGCAAAAAAUAUUUUGUGUUUAUAUGCAAAACAUAGUCUGAGAAAAAUAUAAAUAGAUUUUUCACCUAUACGUAUGUCAGGUGGGACUUCAAAGUCAUGUAGGACAUUGAACAAUUCUUGGUUGGGACCACCUCUAUGAGGCAUUGCAGAAUGUCUACAGCUCUGCCCCUGCCCAAUAAAUGCACCAGUGCUUCCCAAUCAUUGGAACAACCAAAAAUAUGCCCUCAAGUUUCCACAGUGCCCCACCCCUGAGAACCAGCAACCUAGAGGAACUGAGGAAGAAGAGCAACUGUAGGUGGAAGCUUCUGGAAGCACAUGCAUCAGAACCCACUGCUGUUAGCAGAAGGUGCAUUUCCCUGGGAAGGAGACACAACCAGAUUGCUUCCACUAAGCCGACUUUGCAAAUCUGCAACUGCUGAGUGGACACAACAGCUGGAAGCCAUGCUGCAUCACAAAGAAGAUAGAAGUUACACACUUUCCCAAGGCAAGACAUGAUCAAGAUGCUGCCUGAGAGGGAAGAAUAUAUUUUUCUAGGUGCAAAUUAGUGCCAGUGAUGUUUCUGCUAAAACUCUCAAGUGAGCCCAAGGUUGUGGCUUUGUCAUGCUUGUGUAUUCUGGAGAAGAGCAAGAAGUAGGUAAGGUAGGGUCUGGCCCCUCCUGGAUGCCAGCAACUUCUCCAGCUCCUUCUGAUGCCAGGCCUCUUUGCGCUUACUCUGUUUGUUCAUUUGUUUUUUAUUUUGCUUUUGUGGUAUCUAGACAUUCUUUCAGGUCUCAGGGCUCUCUUAUAUACUGCUCUCUGUGCCUAGGAUGUUCUUCAACUUUCUUAUCUAUCUCUAGCUACCUUGCAGACUAGUUUAAGUGACUCUUCCUCAAGAAAGCCUUCUGGACUGCCAAGACAAGGUCACAGACAAUAUCUUCUUUUAAGCUUUCAUGUCAACUUGAACUUAUGCUUUAUAGCAUCAACCACAAUGUUAACUAAAUAAUAAUUGGUACCUAAAGUCUGCUUUUGCUUCUAGAUAUGAACUCCCUGAGGGUAGAGACUGUGUCUGUCUGGUUGACCAGUUCCACUUGCCACCAAGCAGACACUCAAUACUUUUUUGACAAAUGCAUGAGCGCCAAAGCAAAGGUGUUUUAUUUAUUUUUAUAAAUAAUAAAGAGUGUUCAGGCCAGGAGUCUAUAGGAUUAAAUUAAACUAAGAUGUACAGUGAGGCACAAGUGAGUUCUGAAGGAAAGAGGAAGCCAUGGAAUGUGGAGAAGCUGACUGGCAAGCCUACAGCCAGCUGCUUGUCUUGCUGCAAUCCCAUUGGGUGCAGUUUGGGUAUAUUGCAUGCGCAGUGUCUGUAUAUCAGCUCCCUCUCAGAGCAGGGGCUGGAAGUGUGCAGGCAGAAUGAGGUGACUCCUGAGGACCGGAUGCAGGAUCCCGGUGGACACAGGUCAGUAUAUCUGCUGGUGAGUGAGGAGGAACACACACUUUCACCCUGUUGGGAAGUACAUUUGUAAUAAGGCAGGACCCUGGCUUGCUUUCCAGUGUCUGUUGUUUCUGGACUUUGGAGAAGUUUGUUAAUUCUCCUCUGCAGUUGCCUCAUCUGUAAAUGAGAACAUUACCUAUCUCAGAGAUGGGCUAGCAGGAUUUAAACACGGGGCCCAUGCAAAGUCCUUUGUAUGUUGUAAGGUACUAUAUAAGUUAUACUCAGCUGUGUGAGUGGCUGUUAAACUCACCUAUGUCCUAAGCAGGCUCCCCAAGCUGUCUGGAACACCCGCACUGAAGACAGCCUGCCCAGGAUGCAGGAUGCUGGUGUUCAGCGACAACGCCCUGCCACACUCCGCUCAUAUUCCUGAGUACCCACUGCAUGCCAGGAACUCUUCUAGGCCUUGAGAAUGCAGAGUGAACAAAGGAAAGCAGGCUGACUGGAGUCGGGUAUGGGAUUAGAGAGGGAUGGAGAUGGGGCUGUGCUAUUUCAGCUGGAGCAGCCAGGGAGGUUGUGGCAACUGAGUGGAGAUCUGAACAAAGUGAGUGAAGGGCCAGGUGCGGUGGCUCACGCCUGUAAUCCCAGCACUUUGGGAGGUGGAGGCAGGAGGAUCACUUGAGCCCCGGAGCUUGAGAUCUUGGGCAACAUACUGAGACUCUGUCUCUCCAAAAGAUUUUUUUAAAAAAGUUAGCUGGACAUGAUGCUGCACGCCUGUAGUCCUAGCUACUUGGGAAGCUGAGGCAGGAGGAUCCCUUGAGUCCAGGAGUUCAGGGUGAUAGUGAGCUAUGAUCUUGCCACUACAUUUCAGCCUGGGCAACAGAGUGAGUCCCUGUCUGUAAAAUUAAAAAAAAUUUUAAAAAGUGAGUGAAGGAGCCAUGCAAAAAAUUUCCAGGAUCUGUACGAGGUUAUUAUUUUAUUUAAUCCUUUUACUAAUCCUGAAAGGCAGAUAUUUUACAGAGGAGGAAAUGGAAGCCCCGAGCUGACCCAGCCUAGGGGGACAGGGCUGGGUCCAUGCUCUUCCCAUGCUCUGCUCCAUCCUGUGCACUUGCUACUUCCUCCCUUUUCAGCCUCGGGUGUCUUACUAGUCCACCUUAUUCUCUUCCCAUCAGCUUUACGUGAUCCUUUCUUCAUCUUUCUCUUUAUUUCUCUUAAAAAAUGAACAAAGAGAAGAAGGAGUAAAAUAACCUGGUAACUUGAUGGACACAUAUUCUCACUGAGAAUGUUGUUUUUAAACUCUAAACUCAUCCCAUAUGCAUCCGCCUCGCUCCAUCUCCCCACCGCCUCCGAAUGCAGGUUAUCACCACCUUUUGCCAGCAGAGGCUCCUAACUGCUCUCUCUGCUUCCAAUUCACUCUCUGUGCAGCAGCAAGGGUGAUCUUUUAAAAAUGUAAAUUGGAUCAUGUCACUCUGUGCUUAAAAUCCUCCAGUGGCUUCCCACUUGCACUCAGAAUAAAAUUUAAACUUCUCAUCCUGACCUCCAACCUGGCACGAUUCAGCCCCUGCCUACCUCUCCAACCUCACCUUGUCCCACCUUCCCCCUGUGCACUCUGUUCCUGCCACUCAGAUCUCAUUUCAGUUCCUCAAACAUGUCAUGCUCUUCCCCAACUCUGUACUAACUAACUUUUCCUCAUUAUUGAGUCUUCAAAUUAAAUGUCACUUAUGCAGAGAGGCUUCCCCUACUCACCCACCCUACAUUAGGUCUCUCUUGUUAUUCUCUUUCAGCCUCCAGAGCCUCUGGUAGACUAGGAAGCUAUGAGGGCAGAGGCUGGCCAUGGCAGGCAGGCUAACAAAGGACCUAAAGAUCCCACCACUGGGUUUUCAUGCACAUGUGUGGUCCCCUCUCCUUCUGUGUCAUCUGAAUCCAGUGAUUUGCUUUGAAUCAAUAGACUGCAAAGGUGACGGGAUGUCAUUUCUGCAAUUAAGUUUCAAAAGAUAGUGACCUAUGUCUCACCAGCAGACUCUUUCUACUACAUUCUUUGGCAUUCACACUUUGAUGAAGCAAGUUUCGUACUGGAGAGACCCCUGUGGCAAGGAACCGGGGCUGGCCUCUGGUCAACAUCCAUCAGGGAAGUUUGGGCCUCAGUCCACCAGCCCUUGAGAAAUUGAGGCCUUAGCACAGAACUUGGAAGCAGAUCCUUCCCCAGAGGAGCCUUGAGAGGAGGCCACAGGACCUGGGCUGGCCUUAGACUGCAGCCUUGUGAGAGACCAGAACACAGAGGGUCCAGCUAAGCCAUAUGUGAUUUCUGACCCACAGAAGCCGUGAGACAAUCCGUGCUGUUUUAAGCUGCUAAACUGGGGUGAUUUGUUACACAACAAUUGAUAACUAGCACACUGAGCAUUCAUUUGUAAAUACUUGUUGAAUGAAUGAAGGAAUGAAUGGCUUAGUUGUGCCCUGAACCUCCUGAACAGGGAUGGGGAAGCGGUUGUCCAAAUAUGCCAAGAUCUAGCCUGUAAUCACCAUAGCUCUCUGCUCUCACAUGUCUUCUCACACAGACUGCAUAACAAACCCAAACAGAAGGCCUAUUGGCUUCCUGAACAGCUAGUUUCAAGCAAAUGGUGUUACCUUUGACUUAGCUUUCUGAAAACUACCUCUUCUGCCUGUUAGGAUUCAGUGGUCUCCUAAUGAGAUGGAUUUCAAAACCCAACAUGCAUCUUUUCCAACAGUGCGUGCCUUCUCCAAGGGGAGAAAUAACCCCACUCUUUUCCCUGGUUAUCAGUGAUACCAUACUCAUGUGGCAAAGCCUCCAAAAUGAAUAAUUCAUGGUCUAUGAGUACAUUUCGUGAAUAUAUAGGAUGCCAUAUAAAAAUAACAUAAAUGUUUCCUAAUAGAAUUAAUACACUUUCGAAGCAGUUCAGCUUGAGGCAAUUAUUGCACUUCCUGGGAGAUACAAAUUACUUUGCCCUCAGCCUCAUGCCAAAUAACCCCCCUAAGACACACACUAAUUACACAGAAAUACACUGCCUGCCAUAGCUCAUUGACUAAUUGACAAUCAGUUUAAAACUUCAGCAAAAUAUCUUAAAACUUAGGCUUUGCAUUUAGCAAGGAAACCAAUUUUGUUUAUCUCCUCAUUUUGGUCUGCCUCAUUGGCAAAGUUGUAGUAUGGUUGGUAAGUAAUGACUGAGCAGGCUUAUUAUAAUGAUCAAUGGUAAAAGAAAGCAUUCCAUCAUACUGUAUAGCAUUUCCAUCUCUCAUUUCUGUGAUUCUAUUAAGAACAAUUACCAAUAAUAUAUCCGUUAAUGUGAUACAAAAAUAGAAUGCAACCGUGUAUGUAAUAGUUAUUGCUAAUGUGCUCUGCUAAGCUCAGUGUACACUUGUCACUGACUCAUGCACUAUUAAGAUGUGGCCUUUCCAAGCUCUACACCCUUUACAUUCUGAUGUAAGCACAUGCACCCACUGAGUUCAUGCUGUACCUACACACAUUCCUUCUGCCUUAAAAGUAAGUCAUGGACAAAAGUUAAAUCCUUGGGAAUCCUUCUUUACCGUGUCUUCUCUAUUUACCAAUCACUGUUAGAGACCCAACUUCUUUGUAAAGCUAUGUGAGCCUACAUCUGCAUAAAUGUUGUUUCUAAUCACCUUCAUUAUUCCGAGAGUUGACAUACUAUCAACCUUUGCUCUGGAGUUUCUGAAAUAGUCCAAUCUUAGAGGGGAAGUACACCCAAAUACCAGACAACUGAUUUAUAAUGAAAUAUCUGGGGGAAUGACCAAUUCACUCAUUGGAGAUUGCUGUUCUAGGUGCUACAGAACAAAUCUGUAGGAGUUUACAGAUACAGACGGGGCAAUCACUGUGGGAUUGCUGGACUGGCAUUUCUCUUAGGAUUGCAUCUGGUUGCAACCACGGAAUGUCCAACCAGGAGUGGCUUGAACAAUUUGGGAUUUAUUUUUCUCACAGAAUGAGACUUCCAAUGGCAAGAAACCAGGGGCUGGGGUUGUGGCUCAGUGACGAUAUCAAAACACCAGCUCCUUUUGCUUUUCUACUCUUCCGUCCUUUGCUUGUGGGCUGGUUGCCUCAUGCUCUGGAAAUGACUGCUGCAGAGAAGCGGGGCAGAGUCUGCACCAAGCUGCCUUGAACAUGUCUAUUGGGAAAGCACAUGCUCGGCCCUGAACCCUCAUCAGACUUCAGCUUAGGUCUCGUUAGCUAAAACUGUGUCCCACUGGCCUCACUUGGCUACAGGGGAGGCCUGGAAACAAUAGUUAGUUUGGGCACAGGGCUGUCCUAAUAAACAAGGUUUCAUUAGCAAGGGGUGAACGAAACUGGAGUGGGCCAUGAAUGGGUCUGUCAUUGCUGAUAGAAAAUGGGAUAUCUAGCUGCAGUGUGAGGGAUGGGUAAAAUUGAGGUAAGAAACAGAAGAGGAAAAGUGGUCCUUGGUGGAGUUAGAGUGAGAGUAACUCUGGGAAAAGAAAGAAUAGCAGCAUGUCUAGGAGACUGUGAGAACAUUGCUCCAGGAAAAUUUUGUUCAGAGAGGGUGGAUAAAGGUCAGAUGUGUCUAUAAAUCAAACAACUGAUUUAUAAUUGACCCUGUGAAGUGUGUCCAGUUCCUGAGGCAGCCCCCUAUCCUCCCCUACUCUUAACACACACACACCUCAUUCUCACUCCCAGGGCCAUCAUGGGCAGGCUUAAGUGGACUUUCUGACCAAAGGGAAUAAAAUCUUAAGGGAUUCUAUGGCCUGCAUUUUUGCCUUUUCCCCAAGCCAGAGAUUCUCAGCAUUGGCUAUAUAUCGGAGUAACAUGGGGGAAGUUUUAAGCACUUUGAUGCCAAGGUCACACCCCAGAACAAUUAAAGCGAACUCUAGGAGUAGGCUAAGUAUGUGCUGGUAAAAGUUUAAUAACCAGCUCUCUGGAAAACCAGUGUUCAU